ACGUGUGCGAUGUAUGGGCAAGAUUCCUCAUUCUAAAAAAUCGAAGGUUCCUGAUGCUACUAGUGCUCAAAACCAUUUGAAUUCACUUAGUCCAAACAACAACGAAAAUAAUGAAAAUGGUGAAGAUUAAAAGCUAAUUUGUUGUUGAAGAUGGAAUAUUGGCAAUUUAGUGGACUCAAUUUCUUAAUGUUUUUUAAGAUUGUUAUGUAUGACACAAGA